AGAUUGAGCGCUGGCGGCAGGCCUAACACAUGCAAGUCGAGCGGUAGAGAGGUGCUUGCACCUCUUGAGAGCGGCGGACGGGUGAGUAAUGCCUAGGAAUCUGCCUAGUGGUGGGGGAUAACGUUCGGAAACGGACGCUAAUACCGCAUACGUCCUACGGGAGAAAGCGGGGGACCUUCGGGCCUCGCGCCAUUAGAUGAGCCUAGGUCGGAUUAGCUAGUUGGUGAGGUAAUGGCUCACCAAGGCGACGAUCCGUAACUGGUCUGAGAGGAUGAUCAGUCACACUGGAACUGAGACACGGUCCAGCUCCUACGGGAGCAGCAGUGGGGAAUAUUGGACAAGUGGGGAC
rnacentral:rRNA from 1 species